rnacentral:rRNA from 1 species
UACGUAGGGUGCGAGCGUUAAUCGGAAUUACUGGGCGUAAAGCGUGCGCAGGCGGUUCGUUAAGUUCGUUGUGAAAGCCCCGGGCUCAACCUGGGAACUGCAAUGGAAACUGGCGGGCUUGAGUAUGGCAGAGGGGGGUGGAAUUCCGCGUGUAGCAGUGAAAUGCGUAGAGAUGCGGAGGAACACCGAUGGCGAAGGCAGCCCCCUGGGCCAAUACUGACGCUCAAGCACGAAAGCGUGGGGAGCAAACAGG